rnacentral:rRNA from 1 species
UGGGGAAUAUUGCACAAUGGGCGAAAGCCUGAUGCAGCGACGCCGCGUGAGGGAUGACGGCCUUCGGGUUGUAAACCUCUUUCAGCAGGGAAGAAGCGAAAGUGACGGUACCUGCAGAAGAAGCGCCGGCUAACUACGUGCCAGCAGCCGCGGUAAUACGUAGGGCGCAAGCGUUGUCCGGAAUUAUUGGGCGUAAAGAGCUCGUAGGCGGUUAGUCGCGUCUGCUGUGAAAACUCGAGGCUCAACCUCGGGCUUGCAGUGGGUACGGGCUGACUAGAGUGCGGUAGGGGUGACUGGAAUUCCUGGUGUAGCGGUGGAAUGCGCAGAUAUCAGGAGGAACACCGAUGGCGAAGGCAGGUCACUGGGCCGCAACUGACGCUGAGGAGCGAAAGCAUGGGGAGCGAACAGGAUUAGAUACCCUGGUAGUCCAUGCCGUAAACGUUGGGCACUAGGUGUGGGGUCCAUUCCACGGAUUCCGUGCCGCAGCAAACGCAUUAAGUGCCCCGCCUGGGGAGUACGGCCGCAAGGCUAAAACUCAAAGGAAUUGACGGGGGUCAUAGCUGUUUCCU